GUAAUAUAUUUCAGUUACAAGUGCAGCAGGAAAAUCUCAUGCUCAACUGAAUAUUUGCAGUAAAGCAACCUCAUCAGUAGAGUCAGAGAAGGAGAACAAUAUGAAAAAAAGGAAUGAGAAAUUGUAGGACUCAGAAAGAAGGCAUCUGUUGGAGUGUUUAAGGGCACCGGCACAAUUUAUCAGUGCUGCAUGAUCCAGACAGCAAAGAGGGAAAAGACCACAGAUGAUCAUAAGCUUUCACCAUCGAUAGCAACCUGACGUGGCCUGCUUCAAAGACCAAAGGUCCAUCUAGCCCUGAACAGAACAGAUAUCCAGAAAACAGGAUGGAAAUAUUUGGGCCAUGUUAAGAAUGAAGCCAGAGUAUCUGCAAUGGCAAGCAUGCCAUUGGGCAACUGGAGGAACACAUAAGAGGGGCCAGCUGAACAUAAUAAUCCCACCAUCAAAUUCCUGAGAGGGAAAAUUUAACAAAGUGUGAACAGAAUGCAAAUGAAGAGUUCUAAGAACUUCAAAGUGAGAGAGAGAGAGAAACAGCAGGGGAGGAAGACUCUUAGCUGGAGGUGCAUUUCAAACAUUUGUUUGACGACUUUCAGGGGGCAGAGAAGGCACCCAAGCACCCUUCACUGAGGCAGUAAAAGGACAGUGUUUUUUCUUCAUGAAAAAGGGGCCUCCGCAAGGUUGAUCUGAGAACCAUGAAGAGAAUUUUGGGUGACAAAAAACUUCUUUAGACAGGAUAUUUACCUGUUAGUUAAAUUUAGUGUCUAAAAAGCAUGUUAUGAUUUAGUUUUAUAUGUAACCACAUGUU